AAGGCGGGGUGAGCGUGGCGAGGGUGGUAAGGCUUCGUAUAUUAUUAGGGUGGGUUGGGAAAUUGGUCUGAAGGAAAAUAUAGGUUUCCUCUGGAAAAGACGAGGCAGAAAGGAAAGAGAGACAUCAGCCAGGAAGGGUUUGGUAAUGGGUGGUUAGGUAAGAGAAAUCAGACUAUUCUCUCUCUCUCUUCUUUUCCUCUUGCCUGAGCCUCCCAUUCCUAAUGCUUCCUACUUUCUCUCCUUCCUCUUUUACUUCCCUUCCAUUUCAGUUACACUAGCAAUUUCGCAAAAUAUUAGUUCAUGUGCAGCGUCAACUCACCAUCUCUGUGAAGAACAGCCGAUUCACAUGAGUUUCUUACAUUACACUAUCUUUAAGAUGUAGUAAGGAAAUAUUAUCAUACAAAAAUGUAGAGCAAAAUUUCUCCUACAUCUGAUCUUCGCACCAGAGUACUCUGUUCAGGCACAAAAUAACAAACAUGAGAAAGAGGGACUAUCAUCAACCGUUUGUUUGACUUGGGAAGAAGGGGAGGUGAAUAAAUUAAUGAAAUAUUUCAUCAUAAAAUAUUGUAGGUAUAAUUUGUUUCCAUUUUCAAUUGUGUAUUUAGUUAACAUUAAAUGAAGGUUAAAAAUAUAAUUCAGCAAAAGAAAAUGUUCAAAUGAAAAUUCAUCGUUACAUAUA